rnacentral:rRNA from 1 species
UACAGAGGUCCCAAGCGUUGUUCGGAUUCACUGGGCGUAAAGGGUGCGUAGGUGGUUGGGUAAGUUUGAUGUGAAAUCUCCGGGCUUAACCCGGAAACUGCAUUGAAUACUAUCUGGCUAGAGGGUUGGAGGGGGGACUGGAAUACUUGGUGUAGCGGUGAAAUGCGUAGAUAUCGGGAGGAACACCUGUGGCGAAAGCGGCGCACUGGACCAUAACUGACGCUGAGGCGCGAAAGCCAGGGGAGCAAACGGG